UGAGUACGAGAUGCUACGGCAUCGAAGCAGUCUAUGUCAUACUUCCAAGAAAAGCUUGCAAUGUCAUAAACAAAUAAUGCCUGUACCAUAACCGACACAGGUGGGCAGGUAGAGUAUACUAAGGGGCGCGAGAUAACUCUCUCUAAGGAACUCGGCAAAAUGACUCUGUAACUUCGGGAGAAGGAGUGCCUUAUUUUUAUAAGGUUGCAAUAACAAGAUCCAAGCAACUGUUUACCAAAAACACAGGUCUCCGCUAAGUCGUAAGACGAUGUAUGGGGGCUGACGCCUGCCCAGUGCCAGAAGGUUAAAGAAGUUGGUUAGCAUUAGCGAAGCUGAUAACUGAAGCCCUGGUGAACGGCGGCCGUAACUAUAACGGUCCUAAGGUAGCGAAAUUCCUUGUCGGGUAAGUUCCGACCCGCACGAAAGGCGUAAUGAUUUGGAUACUGUCUCGGAGAGGGGCUCGGUGAAAUAGACUUGUCUGUGAAGAUGCGGACUACCUGCACCUGGACAGAAAGACCCUAUGAAGCUUUACUGUAACUUGAGAUUGAAAUUGGACUUUAUCUGCGCAGUAUAGGUGGGAGACGUUGAAAAUAUUCUUGCGGGAAUAUUGGAGUCAUCAGUGAGAUACCACUCUUAUAAUGUUAGAUUUCUAACUUUGUAUCAUUAUCUGGUCAAAGAACAGUUUCAGGCGGGCAGUUUGACUGGGGCGGUCGCCUCCCAAACGGUAACGGAGGCGCACAAAGGUUUCCUCUGAACGUGUAGAAAUCGUAUCUAGAGUGUAAAGGCAUAAGGAGGCUUGACUGUGAGACCUACAAGUCGAGCAGGGACGAAAGUCGGUCUUAGUGAUCUGACGGUGCUGAGUGGAAAGGCCGUCACUCAACGGAUAAAAGUUACUCUAGGAUAACAGGCUGAUCUCCCCCAAGAGUUCACAUCGACGGGGAGGUUUGGCACCUCGAUGUCGGCUCAUCGCAUCCUGGGGCGGUAGUACGUCCCAAGGGUUGGGCUGUUCGCCCAUGAAAGCGGUACGCGAGCUGGGUUCAGAACGUCGUGAGACAGUUCGGUCCAUAUCCGGUGUAGGCGUUAGAAUAUUGAGAGGAGCCUUCUUUAGUACGAGAGGACCGAGAAGGACAUACCUCUGGUGUACCAGUUAUCGUGCCAACGGUAAACGCUGGGUAGCCAUGUAUGGAGAGGAUAACCGCUGAAAGCAUCUAAGUGGGAAGCCCACCUCAAGAUAAGUAUUCC
rnacentral:rRNA from 1 species